rnacentral:rRNA from 1 species
UGUAUCCUACGGGAGGCAGCAGUCGGGAAUAUUGCGCAAUGGAGGAAACUCUGACGCAGUGACGCCGCGUAUAGGAAGAAGGUUUUCGGAUUGUAAACUAUUGUCGUGAGGGAAGAAAUUGACAGUACCUCAGGAGGAAGCUCCGGCUAACUAUGUGCCAGCAGACGCGGUAAUACAUAGGGAGCAAGCGUUAUCCGGAUUUAUUGGGUGUAAAGGGAGCGUAGACGGGAAAUUAAGUUAGUUGUGAAAUCACUCAGCUUAACUGAGGAACUGCAACUAAAACUGAUUUUCUUGGGUACUGGAGG